GGGUGGACCCUGAGGAGGAAUAACUAGAAGCCCACUGACAGUGAGACAAUGUUUUUGGCUUUGUGCUUUGCAGCAGUUGGGCUCACUUUGCUGGCUUUCGCAGAGGUAGCAGCGCAGAGGACUUUCAUUGCUGCUUCGGCAGACUUGGCAGGUUUGUGCCCUUUGGGUGGAGACUCGCCGCUUUUUCUGAGCAGCGCCACUGCUUUUGCUGUUGUCUGCUGUUCGCUGCGGCUGCCGUGGUUUUUGCUUUGCUCUUUGACUGGACUGCUGGUAACCUGAUGACUGAGGAUGUGCAGCUUACACUGUGGUGCCCUACCAAGCUUGCCUCAGGCACCAAAGAAGGAAGUGCCUGAAGAAGAAAUACUCUACCAAACUGUGAUCGUUUAGAGCAGACAUUGCCUUCAUUUCAGCACAGCAAAGCACAAGGCACAAGAUCAUUUCAGCACAGCAAAGCACAAGGCACAAGAAGAAUGGCAGAAACAGGUAAACAUUCAGCACCAAAAUUACGAUGGCACCCCUCCCCCUUCCUCAAUUCAUACAGAGGUUAGAAAACAGGAUGUCCUCUCAAGAAAAGAACA